UAUAAGUCCAAAAAACAAAGUGCCAUGUUGCUACUUGCUAGUACUCCAGCAUUUGCAGGCAUGCCAUUCCCUGCAAGUAUCAGUGUUCUGUAGUCUUCGGGAAAGUACAUUGUUUGAGCAUCUCCUGACCUGAAUGUGGAACUUGGUGUUUGAACUUAGUGUUUUUUUUAAUGUGUGCAACAGCUUUUGUUCCCCACUUGAAAAAAGUUGCAUGAGGCAAGCAGGUGUUUAAAAUGUAAGCUGAUAAAUAUGAGUUGUAUCCACUGCAACUCUUCCAUUAGCGCAUGGAUUUUUGCUUGUGCAACAGGACUUUCCUCCCCUCCUUUCUCUGUUCUCCUGCAAAUCUGUGCCGGGGUUUUCCCCAGUCCUCUGGAGCAAAUUUUGGAGAAGGUUCAGGGUGCACAGAGGGAGGAAGUACAGUUGUGCAAGUGGAAAUCCUUGCAUAGAUGGGAUGCUUGCUUAGCCUUGCAUUGGAUACACACCUAUGUAUUUAUGAUGUAGCCUUUGUUCAAUGAUAGAGUGUGUGCUUUGCAUGCAGACAGUCGCAGUUUGAACCCACGGCUUCUCCAGGUAGGCCUGUGAAAGAAGCUUGUCUGAAACCCCAGAAAACUGCUGCCAGUCAAGGUAAACAAGACUGAGCUAGGUGGACCCAGGUCUGACUUCGUAUAAGGUGGUGCUGUGUCAGACACCAUGUUUCACAAUCAAUCUAUUCAACCUCGUUUCAGAUAUUACAUACCCUCCAACAUGUUCAGUCCCAAAACUGGGAUGCUCAUCUUUCUGUCUGCACUCCCACAAAAUCAUGGAGCCCCAAAGAUGUUCUGUUUUCAGGGCUGUGCUCUUGCGGCACCCCAAAACACGUGUUUUGGGGUGCUGUGCGAAAAGGUUUUUUUAGGGGGGGCGAGAUCUUGGUGCAAAAUUGCAUGAGAUCAUGGUGACCAAAAUGGCCGCCAUUCUCUCACAGGAAAAAAACAAGAUGUUCAGGUUUUUCCAGGGCACUUGCAGGGUAUGAUAUAUUACACCAUGGGCUUGGUUGCAUUUUCCCAGAUUCCCUUGAAAAUAGGGCAAGGCCUGAGUUUGGGUUUUGAACUUGUACCACAUAACAGGGUCCUGAAUGAAUGUACCAGAUUCUUCUCAGAAACAUAGCCUUCAGUGGAGCUACCCAGCUACAGGCAAACCGACAAGCGGGCUUCGCUUGGCCAGUUUUAGUUUCCUAGCAGAAUCUUUUGUUCAGCUUUUGUUCCACAGUGUGUGCUGCUUCCUGCUUUUCCUGUUGUCUUCAUAUAGGGAAACCAUAUAUGAAAGAAGGGCAAGCGUGUCCCUGCAAUGUUGGUGUGGCUGUUUCAAAAACAGGAAUUGAGUCAUAGCCUCCAAAUGAGGUGGUCUCCUGGAAAAGGAUAAAACAACACAAGGCCACCCCCCUUAGAGACAGGAAGACUGCUGGUAUUGAGCUCAAAGCUCCCAAGGCCACCGUUGUUAAUAUGCAACAGCAUUUCCUUUAUAAACAUGCCUCUCCGGUCAGCCUUGUAAGCACACCUGGGCUCACUGUUUCCAAAAUGUAAUUGACCAGGCCUCGUCUGGGAAUGAUUUUAAAAGCCAAUCAGGCCAUUUGGCCAAAUUAGUUCUUAAUUUGAAGGACACUUCAGACUUUUAAAUGGUGACCACAAUCAACCUGCAGCGAGAUGUUUAUGUGGAUUUUAAUUCUUUGUUUUUUAAUUUUUUUUUUAAAGCAAAUGCUUGUUAGCUUAGCUUCACACAUAUGCAGCAGUAAAGAGGAAGAUAUUUGGGUUCCUUUCUCAGAGCCGGUCUUGAAUACAAGUUGGCGCAAAUCACAGGUGGAGAGAGUCCUGUUGCACUCAAGUUCUGCUUGUUUCCUCCCAUGAGUAUUUGGCAGGCCCAGUGCUCCAUAGUUGAUGGGUCAUUGUUCAUCUCAUCAGCUAGCCUUCUCCUCUAGAAACACCACUGUGGCAGAAGAGGCUGUAAAAGAAAUCUGUCCUUUCCAUAGGCGUAACGACAACUGUUGUAGUGCAGCAGUUUACUUGAUCAUAGCCCCAUUGCAUCUAAGGCGUCUCAGUGUGUAUUUAUUGUGUUAUAUAAACACAAGAAUGUUGACCUCUCUGUGGCACCACCAGCUCCACACCUUUGUGAGACGUACAAUUCAUAGCUAUUAAAUCCAUGCCUCGGUUUCACUGUGAGUUGGUGUUUUCCUGUGUUUUCUAGUGCCAGGCUGUAAUUUGGUUCUGAUAAUGGGCUGGACUGUGUAAACUAAAUAUAGGGUGUGUUGUUUGGGAUGUGGUAGAUUAUAAGGCCACCCUUGGGAGGUGGUGGACUCUCCUUCUGUGACGGACAGCAGAGCCAGACUAGAGUCUGGUUGGCUACAGAGUCAGCUGACCACAGAGCAGUGGGGUACAGCACUUUUUUGGGGGUGGGGGGAAAAUAAAAGGAGCAGUUUCUGAAGGAGAGCGUUAGAUAGGGCUGGGUUUAAGAUGAGAUAUAGUGCUGGAUUUGAGAAGAGGGAUAGGAUUUCAUUAGAGAUGCUAGACAGGUUUCAGUUUGGGAGAUAGGGAGUGAGAUAAGGAGAACUGGUUCUGAGUGAAGUGAAACAUACACAUUGAAGAGACUAUCCAUAGUGAGAGGACAGAGCCUCACAGCUUGGAUAGGGAGACCGGGUUGAGGGUCUGGGAAAGGUAUACAGACAGGAGUGUCCUGGGAGGGCUGAGUCUGAACUGGGAGAGGUAGAUCCUGUGGGAAUUCAGGCUACCUGGGUCUCAGUGUUGUUGUUGUUAGAAUUUAUAUACCACCCUAUAACCGGGGGUCUCAGGGCGGUUCACAGAAUAACAGCCAGGAGGGGAGAGUUCUUCUAGGUAGAGAAGACUCCCAACCCAGUAACAAGGGGUGAGGGGAUCCUCUGGGUCUGUUAUACCAUUUAGAAAAUCUCAGAUGUGGGAUUCUUAAGAGAGUGGGUACCUGAGGAGAAGUGCCCCUCGCUCAUGAGCCGCAGUAAUAAUCUGUGAAGGAAACUGUAUGGUGUUGAAAAUAUUUAACUGUAAUAUCUAAGUAACAGAAGCUGAGUUGAGCAUUUUGCCAUCUAUCCUAAAAACCUUAACAUCCACCAUCUGAUUUUUAGUAACUGAACUUUAAGAAGAGCUGUGCCAAUUGUGUUGUGUUUGAGCCUGAGACAUCUUAGAGUUAGUUAAAGCAAACAAGUUAACUUCUACCUAAAAGAACGCUUUUCCUGACCCACUUUGUUUCAUAAACCUCUUUCGUUUAAUAAAACUUUUCUAGUUUGUUUAAUCAACUCUUGCCUGAGACUCUAAAUCAUUAAGUUUCCCCUCACACAAGUCCCCCACUAGAUAAUCUGUGGUAAAUUGUAGGAAUUCAUGUAAUUGGUGUACCUUGAAGUGGGUGCACUGUAUUUCAUAGGGAGUGGAUCCGCCACAUUAUUAAUUCGUGGUAUUAAGUGGUGGUUCCACUACACCUUCCUUGGAGGUUUUAAGCAGAGGUUGGAUGGCUGCCUGUUAUGGAUGCUUUAGUGGAGAUUCCUGCAUUUCAGGGAGUUGGUCCUCACGGUCCCUUCCAAUUCUAUGAUUCAGGGAUCUUGGUCGAAGCUAAAUGGCAGUCUGAUGAGCAAAAUGUGCUAGCAGCUCUUUACGUGUAUGUUUGUAGCAGAUGCUGUUGACUAAAUGUGAAUUUCACAAAGCAGUUUUGAUUGAAACCGUUGGCUACAGCAAGACCCAUAGAAGUGAGUCAGUAGAAAUCCCCGCUUUUUAAAUUCCCUGGCAUAUUCCCAGUUGAUCUUCAUGGUCUUAGCUGUUUUCAGUGAAACCCAUUUUAGUCAUAAUUUUAUUUUUGUAAAUCAGGUUAUCCACAUGCAGUUGCAUUGUAAUUAAAUUUCUCCCUUCCCUACAGCACAGCCUAUCUUCUGCAGGCAGAAACAGGGUAAGGGUGUAUCAUGCAAUUACUUUCCCAGCCAAGUUACUUUCCCAUCGAGGAAGUGGGCAUUUGAAUAGCCCGAAUGCUUGGUAUUUGAAUGCCUUGAACACGUUCAGGGAAAGCAAAUGAGGUGACAUACUGGAGAUGAUGGAUUGGAAAGCAAAAAAGCCUUGAAUUUUUCUUUUUCUUUUUUACCUUCUAAAAUGACUGCAGUUUGCAUUGCAUGGAAAUGUUACGGAUCAUGGAGAUAAAGGCAAAGCUUCCAAAUAUUCUUUUGGAGUUCCCAAACACUGGUCCAUGGACUUCAAAGGGAUGUGGGUGACGCUGUGGUCUAAACCACUGAGCCUCUUAGGCUUCCCAGCUGGAAGGUCAGCAGUUUGAAUCCGUGCGAUGGGGCAAGCUCGCGUUGCUCUGUCCCAGUUUCUUCCAACCUAGCAGUUUGAAAGCAUACCAGUGCAAGUAGAUAAAUAGGUACCGCUGUGACAGGAAGGUAAACAGUGUUUACAUGAGCGCCGCACCCCAUAGUCGCCUUGGACUGGAUAUCCCGUGGUCCUUUACCUUUACUUUUUACCAUGGACUGCAAGUGGUCUGUGAGGUUCAUUCAGGUUGGUCUGUGGUGUGUGUCUGUAGAACAGCGGGAUCAUUGGCUAUGAAUGGCAGGCUCAGUGCAUUAAACAUUCAUACUGAUUUUUAAUUUUAACUUUAUUGCUUCUUAUAUUGCAUUAUGGAUCAUUUCAUGUUACACUGAAUUCUAUGGAGUUCAAAUUGCAGUACACACUGAAAUACAAUAUAAUAAACAAACAAAAAAGCACUAAAAUGCAACUAAAAGUCUCACAGUGUCUAGCAAUAUAGUACUGAACAACUUGGUACUGAAAUACAAUAU